rnacentral:tRNA from 1 species
CCCCCGCUAGCUCAAUGGACGAGAGCGGCGCCCUUCUAAGGCGACGGUUCCGGGUUCGAGUCCCGGGUGGGGGACCA